CUUCAACACUCUUCUUCGUCUUCGUCUUCGUCUUCGUCCUCCUCUUCUCCUCUUUCCUUCCCGCCCAGUCGAAGAAACCCUCCCUCCUCCCCUCCUUUUGAGAGAUUGAUAAGAACGAAGGCGCGAUGUCUAACGUAACAGUCUGUGCGCGAUUUCGGCCACGAAGCUCUAAAGAGUUGCGAGAUCACAGAGAUGGUGUCUGUGUUCGAGGCAUCGACGCUGAAACCUUCGUUUUUCAAGAUGACAAGGAAGACGAAUUAACAUUCAGCCUCGAUGGAGUUUUUUAUGAGGACUCUCCCCAAGCUGCGGUUUAUGAGUUUCUGGCUCUGCCGAUCAUGAGAGACGCUGUGAAUGCUAUAAACGGAACAAUCAUCACUUAUGGACAGACAGGGGCCGGGAAGACAUUUUCCAUGGAGGGACCAGGCAUCCAAGACGGUGAUGAUCACAAUAAAGGAUUACUUCCAAGAGUCGUCGAUGGGAUGUUUGGUCAAAUCAGCUCUUCCAAAGAUAUUGCAAAAUUCACAGUUAAAUUGUCUAUGGUUGAGAUCUACAUGGAGAAAGUCAGGGACCUGUUAGACUUAUCGAAAGGAAACAUACAGAUCAAGGAAACUAAAACACAAGGAAUACUAUUGUCCGACGUUACAGAGGUACCUGUAUCAGAUUCGGCGGAGGCAUUACAAUAUCUAUGCACUGGUUUAGCUAACCGUGCAGUUGGGGAAACCCAAAUGAAUAUGUCCAGCAGUAGAAGCCACUGCGCUUACUUGUUCACAAUCCAGCAGGAGUCACUUAAAGAUAAGAGGGUGAAAACAGGAAAACUGAUUCUUGUCGACCUGGCUGGCUCAGAAAAGGCAGACAAAACUGGAGCAGAAGGUAGGGUUCUUGAAGAAGCGAAGACGAUAAAUAAAUCACUCUCAGCUUUGGGGAACGUGAUAAACGCUCUCACUAGUGGGUCAUCUAGCAAAGUGAAUCACAUACCAUAUCGUGACUCCAAGCUUACUCGCAUCCUACAGGAUGCCCUGGGUGGGAAUUCUCGUUUGGCACUGCUUUGUUGUUGCUCACCUAGCACUUCGAAUGCAUCUGAGACACUCUCAACCCUCAGGUUUGGCAUGAGGGCAAAGCACAUAAAAGCAUCACCACGUGCCAGUGAAGUAAAAAUUGCAAAGUCACAGGAGGAAAUCUCCUCGGUAACCAAAGAUGAGAAAUGUGGGAGGAUCCUGGAGAAGAUGAAAGAGAGAAUGAGCAACGAAGACAUCAAAAUGCUAGAAGAAGUGCUCAUACAUGAAGGGAUCAUUUCCAGCCUAGAUUCAAUGGAUGAAGUGGAAACAGCAUAUGAAGAUAUUGUAUCAAAAACUAUACAGUCCUUACAGCAUGCCGUUGAAGAACUUCAACUAAAAGUCAUAAAGUUAGAAACAGAAAACAAGGGUAUUCAGGAAAAAGCAUUGCGCCAUUACGAACCAGGUCUGGCUGGAAAGAUGUCAAGCUUCAUCAGUUCUUGGUAUGCAUCUUUCUUUACGUCCUAACUAUUUUGGUAAUGUAGAAGAUGUGGACAAGUAGAUGGUAAGGAGAUAAGUUGCUCUUUUUAAGUUGUGAGAGCAAAACAGAAUAUCUAGUAACGAGAGGUGUCAGGGAGAGGAGUGUCAUUGAGGAAGUGAAUGAAGAGUGAAAGAGAGCGUUUUGGCUGGAAGCUGGGAA